rnacentral:rRNA from 1 species
CUCUUGACAUCCACAGAAAUUCCAGAGAUGGAUUGGUGCCUUCGGGAACUCUGAGACAGGUGCUGCAUGGCUGUCGUCAGCUCGUGUUGUGAAAUGUUGGGUUAAGUCCCGCAACGAGCGCAACCCUUAUCCUUUGUUGCCAGCGAUUUGGUCGGGAACUCAAAGGAGACUGCCGGUGAUAAACCGGAGGAAGGUGGGGAUGACNUCAAGUCAUCAUGGCCCUUACGAGUAGGGCUACACACGUGCUACAAUGGCGUAUACAGAGGGAAGCGAGAGUGCGAGCUGGAGCGAAUCUCACAAAGUACGUCUAAGUCCGGAUUGGAGUCUGCAACUCGACUCCAUGAAGUCGGAAUCGCUAGUAAUCGCAAAUCAAAAUGUUGCGGUGAAUACGUUCCCGGGUCUUGUACACACCG